UUCUCAAGUUCAUUUAGGAUCCGGCUAACAUUCUGUACCCAGGACUAUCAGCAACCAACCUUUUGUGCCCUUGUUCACAACGUGCUAGCCAUAAAGAUGACAAAGCCCUUGUUCUUGCUGCUGCAAACACUCCGUUGCUAUUGGAUUGGGUAGAGAACAUCUGUCAAUUAUUCAUGUGCCCGAUCUUAAAGGCACGCAAUGCAUGUUCAAGGUCAAUCUCGGCGGCACCCCUCACAGCCUUAGGGAAACCAAUUUCGAGAGCUUGGCUGCAAAGGAAUUGAGAGUUGGGUCCUCACAUCGACCUGAUCCUUUCGUGCAUCAAUUCUGAGAGAUUUCGUGGUUACCUGGUGAUUGUAGGAGGCAAGGCGGCGGGAGCCGGGACAAGUGACAGUGCC